CGUCAGAGGUGCGGUCUUAAAGAGUAGAUGUGCGGAGAUUUCCUGGUCGCCGAUGCACAUUGAAAGGUAUGACUGCCGAAGGGGACAGCUCCAGGAAGAGCUGCCGGCCUGGUUCUUCGUCAAAAAGGCGUGGGACUGUCGUCAUGGAUUGUGAUGGAGAGCUG
rnacentral:ncRNA from 1 species